AUUGAACGCUGGCGGCAGGCUUAACACAUGCAAGUCGAACGAUGACUCUCUAGCUUGCUAGAGAAGAUUAGUGGCGGACGGGUGAGUAACAUUUAGGAAUCUGCCUAGUAGUGGGGGAUAGCUCGGGGAAACUCGAAUUAAUACCGCAUACGACCUACGGGUGAAAGGGGGCGCAAGCUCUUGCUAUUAGAUGAGCCUAAAUCAGAUUAGCUAGUUGGUGGGGUAAAGGCCCACCAAGGCGACGAUCUGUAACUGGUCUAAGAGGAUGAUCAGUCACACCGGAACUGAGACACGGUCCGGACUCCUACGGGAGGCAGCAGUGGGGAAUAUUGGACAAUGGGGGCAACCCUGAUCCAGCCAUGCCGCGUGUGUGAAGAAGGCCUUUUGGUUGUAAAGCACUUUAAGCAGGGAGGAGAGGCUAAUGGUUAAUACCCAUUAGAUUAGACGUUACCUGCAGAAUAAGCACCGGCUAACUCUGUGCCAGCAGCCGCGGUAAUACAGAGGGUGCGAGCGUUAAUCGGAAUUACUGGGCGUAAAGCGAGUGUAGGUGGCUCAUUAAGUCACAUGUGAAAUCCCCGGGCUUAACCUGGGAACUGCAUGUGAUACUGGUGGUGCUAGAAUAUGUGAGAGGGAAGUAGGAUUCCAGGUGUAGCGGUGAAAUGCGUAGAGAUCUGGAGGAAUACCGAUGGCGAAGGCAGCUUCCUGGCAUAAUAUUGACACUGAGAUUCGAAAGCGUGGGUAGCAAACAGGAUUAGAUACCCUGGUAGUCCACGCCGUAAACGAUGUCUACUAGCCGUUGGGGUCCUUGAGACUUUAGUGGCGCAGUUAACGCGAUAAGUAGACCGCCUGGGGAGUACGGCCGCAAGGUUAAAACUCAAAUGAAUUGACGGGGGCCCGCACAAGCGGUGGAGCAUGUGGUUUAAUUCGAUGCAACGCGAAGAACCUUACCUGGUCUUGACAUAGUGAGAAUCUUUCAGAGAUGAGAGAGUGCCUUCGGGAAUUCACAUACAGGUGCUGCAUGGCUGUCGUCAGCUCGUGUCGUGAGAUGUUGGGUUAAGUCCCGCAACGAGCGCAACCCUUUUCCUUAUUUGCCAGCGGGUUAAGCCGGGAACUUUAAGGAUACUGCCAGUGACAAACUGGAGGAAGGCGGGGACGACGUCAAGUCAUCAUGGCCCUUACGACCAGGGCUACGCACGUGCUACAAUGGUAGGUACAGAGGGUUGCUACACAGCGAUGUGAUGCUAAUCUCAAAAAGCCUAUCGUAGUCCGGAUUGGAGUCUGCAACUCGACUCCAUGAAGUCGGAAUCGCUAGUAAUCGCAGAUCAGAAUGCUGCGGUGAAUACGUUCCCGGGCCU
rnacentral:rRNA from 1 species